rnacentral:siRNA from 1 species
CUAGAGGUGUCAGAAAAGUUACCA